rnacentral:lncRNA from 1 species
GAAAUAGCGCAUUCUACGCUCCUCUCGUUUGUUCUCUCUUUCUCUCCUUUCUUUCUUCUUCCUCUUCUUUUCUGUUCAAUUUGAUUCAUGAUUUUGAUUUCUCGAUUCUAAAGAUUUGCAUGUUCGUUGUUCAGACUUCUUUGAUCGAUAGAUAUGGAUUUGCGUUUAUCGGAUUGCAUAGAUAUGAAGAAUUUCACACUUUUUUAUGGAUCAUCGUUUAUCGAGAAUUAUUUGUUGUGUAGUUUUUGAAUUAUUGGAUGUAGUUCUUCAUAAUUGAAUAAAUCGAUACAUGUGUUUAUCGGUUUUGCAGCGAUCGUACGUUUGGAAUCUGGAUAUGAGAACGAAGAACGCCAAAAUCGCUCGAUGCUCGACCUAUCCCUAGUUUAUGGAUCAUCGUGAUCUUAAGUUUGGAAUCUGGAUCGUUUUGCUAUUCAUAUGAGAACGGAGAACAAAGAAAUCGCUUGCUCAAUGGAUCAUCGGUUAUCAAUAAUUAUUUGAUUCAUUAUUUGAUUAUUGGAUAUAGCUCUUCAUAAUUCGAUAAUGCAGAUAUGUUCAUGGUUUUGUAGCAAGGUGAACAUUUUGAGAUUCUUGAUUCAACGGAUAUGAACAGAGAACGGCACCAGAUAGAUGAAUCAAAUUUCUUCAAUGAUUUGUAUUUAUGAUUUUUACUUCUUGGCUUUGAUUCCAUGGUGGUCAUAAGAAUUGAUAUGUGAAUAUGUUUUUCUGCAGCGUGGUUUAUCAAAAUAUGAAUAACAUGGAGCCUGGAUAUUUGAUUUGGUUAUAUCUUUCUUUGUUGAUUUGGAGAAUGAAAUUUUGAUUUCUUGAUUUGGUGUUUUACUUUCUUGAGUCUUUGAUUGCUUAAUUUCAGGGUUUGUUAUAAACGAGAUCCUAAGGAUCAAGAAUCAAGAAUUUCAUACAAUCGCACUUCUCUUCUUUACAUGAAAAUUUCUUAAAAUUCAUUUGAUAAUUAUUGUUUUCUUAAGAUUUUCAUAUAAUUAAUUAAUUCUUUAUGAUACUCGAGAUCAUUUAUCGGUUUUGCAGUGAAACCUCUUGAUACAUGGGACAAAAACGGCUCCAGCUAGAUAAAUCAAAUUUCUUUAUUAGGUUCUUAAUAAUUUUGAUUUGAUUGGAAGGCAUACAAAUUGAAUUUUAAACAUGUUCUUAAUUUAUUCUGCAGCGUGGUGGUUUGUCAAACUAAGCGGGAAUUUGGUGAUGUCUGUUACAUUUUUUUCUUUUCAAAAUUUCUUCAUUGUUUUCUAUGUAUAAUAUUAAAUCCGUUAAUAUUUUUUGAUUCAGUGAUCUCUUUGGUUUUUCAGGAGAAAUAAUCUAUGAAAACACGAUUUGCUCUGGUUCUAUCUUUCUUCCUCUAAUUUUGUAUUAUUUUUCAUUUCUGGGUUCGUGUGCGAUACAUAAAAAUUGGAUCAUGAACUUUCUUUUUCAGAUUGUUUUGUCCAAAUAAUAAACUCAUUCAUAGCAUAGAACCUCAACUCUUAAUUUGGUAAUAUGUAGUAAAUCAAAUUUGUUUAAAUCUUUAUUGAUUUUGAGAACAAAUAGUCCAUGAUUUUGUUGAUUUUGCAGCUAAAGUCAAGGUAUUCUUGAUUCAAUUGGUAAGUAAGGAGAACUGCUCCAUAAAUCGAAUUUCUUCAAUGAGCCAUUAUUUGUUAAUUUUUAAAAUUGAUUUUCUGCAGUGUGGUUUGUCAAAAUAAUGAUCUCCUUCAUUCAUAGCAUGGAGCCUCUUUUUGUUCAAUCUUUAGUGUUGUUGGAGAGCAUGUAUGAUUUGGAUGUCUAGAGUCUAGAGUUUGCAUGAUCUUCUUUCUACUUUCUUUCGUUUUUUGAUCCAUUAGCCACAUGUUGUUUUCUCCUUGAUUGCUUAAUUUCAGGUUUUCCUAUGAGCGAGAUCUUAGGGUUAUACUUCUCUUCAAUCUUCUUUUACAAUCCGUUAUCAAGAAUUAUUUCUGUAAUUUUUGGAUUGUUAAAUUGUUAAUUUACUUUUUGGUGUUACAUGAGAGGAUAUGAUUCCGAUUUCUUGAUUCUGAAGUUUGUUUAUUCUUGUUCAAACUUUCUUUCGUUUCUGGUUUUCUUAACCUGUUUGCUCCAUGAUUGCUCGAUUUCAGGGUUCUCCUGCUAAACGUGAGCAUAGAUGUCAUGAAUUUUAACUCUUCUCUUGACUCUUUGUUUACAAAUUCGUUAUCAAAACAUGUCUCUGUAUUUUUUGGGAUAUAAUUCUUCAUUUGAUAAUCUGGCGAUGCAUUUAUCCAUCUUGCAGUGAGCUGUAAAGUCUGCAUUAUCUAGAAAGUUUUUAUACACCUGAAAAGAACAACAGCUCCAGAUAGAUAAAUAUCAAAUUUCUUUAUUGAGCCAUUCUUUAUUAUUUUAAUUUCUGGCAUUCAAUUGCAAGACGUACGAAUUGAAUUUUGAACAUAUUUUCCUGCAGCAUAGUUGUCUUCAUGGCAUGGAGCCUAGCAUUUUUAUUCGGUGAUCUCUAUUAAAUUCUUCACAUUUUAUAAAAAAAAAUUAUUGACACCCUAUUUCCUUUUUUUUUUUGUUUUUUUUUUUGUUAUUUACUCUUCCAUGUUGCAGGAGAAGUGAUCGUUGAACAUACUCUGGUUCUAUUGAUCUUCCUCUUGGUUAUAUCUCAGAAGUUCAACUUUAGGUUUUCUAACACCAUCAUACUGCUGAUUCCUUAAAUUUUGGUUUUUGAUGUAAUCUGACAGUGUGAUAGUUUACACAAUUUUGGAGAAAUUGAGACUCUGCUUUGAUGUAAUCUCAUUUAGGUUUUCUUACUUUCGUUAAAUUAGAUAAUCGAGAUAUAUGUUUAACCAUUUUGCAGCAGGUGGCAGAAUUCUUGAAAACUAGAAACAUUUUACGAUUCUUGACACAACGGAUAUGAACAGAGUGGCUUCAAAUAGAUAAAUCAAAUUUCUUCAGUGAUUCAUUCUUUAUUUGUUUUUAAUAUCAAGCUAUUGAUUAUGAGAAGAGUUGAACUGUGAACAUGCUUUUUCUGCAGCUUGGUGUGUCUAAGUCCUUCUGAGUAUGGAGCCUUGAGUAUUUUUCUGGUGAUCUCUAUCUAGUAAAUUCAUCCCUUCAAUGCUACUGAGAGCAUAUAUUUCACACUCUGUCAUGUUUUUCUUUUCUUUCUUUCUAUUUAUGUUAUUUUUCGAUAUAAGUCUUCCUUUGAUAAUCGAAGAUUCGUUUAUCCGUUGUACUGUUAGCAGGGAAGUCUUGAAAUCUAGGAGACUUGAUGUAAUGGACAAGAACGGGGGAACACGAUUUUUCUUUAAUGAGUCCUUUAUUAUUUAAAUUUUUUUGGGAUUUGAUAGCAAGGCAUAGAGCCUAGUGUAUUUAUAAACAUUGAAUUUUGAACAUUUUUGUCUGCAGCACGGUUUGUCAAACCGAUGACUUCCUUCGCAGCAUAGAGCCUAGUGUAUUUAUUUGGUGAUAUCUAUCAUAAUCUAUUUGUUUUCAAUAUUUCUUUUACUACUCUGAGAGUGAAUAUUUCUUGAUUUGUUACUCUUUGGUGUUGCAGGAGCAAUAAUCUAUGUAUGAUUUCUUACGAUUCUAUCUAUCAUUCUCUUGUUUGAUCCUCAUGUUAUUCUUUUUUGGUUGAUUCUUUGGUAGACUGAUGUUUGCAGUUCUUAUGUAAUGAUCUGAUUGUUUAGUUUGUUUGGGUUAUAAUUGAUUGUUCUCUAAUUUCUUUGUUACAGCAAGUAUUAUUAAUCGUCAACAGAUGUUGUUUUGUGUUUAAGGUUUGAGUAAUAGGUAACAGUUAUGUUUUGUGGAACUUGGAAACAUAGCUGGAGUUCUGAUAUGUCUAACAACGGCUUGGUUUGGAGAUUUAAACUAUCUUCCUUCUGUUUGUCAGGGUUAAGUGUUACAUAGGUUUGAAGUGCAACAGAAGUCUCCAAUCACAUUUCACUUUAAGUUUUCCUUCUGAAAUGGAGAAAUUGGUUUGUGCUACUUACUUAUAAAAAGGAUAUUUUAUUUGAUAUAGACUUUCGACUGUUGAUAGGAUUGAGUUGCCAAUCUGAACAUAGGGAGAAAUUGGUGAUUAGUGCCUCUUUCCUUUGUACUAUUUAUCUUCUGUCAACUAAUUAACAAGGAUAAAUGAUUUGAUAUACGUAAUUAACAAGAAUACGUGACUUGACAUAAAAUUUCAACUGUUGCUAGGAUUGAUUUGGCAAUCUGGACUUGGGGAGAAAUUGGUGGAGAUGAGUGCCUCUAUCUUUUGUACUACUUAACUUCUGUCAACUAAUUAAUACAUGAUUUGAUAUACGUUUUAGUCUAUUGCUAGGAUUGAUUUGGCAAUCUGAAUUUAGCGAGAAAUUGGUGGAGUGCCUCCAUUUGUACUACUUAUCUUCUGUCAACUAAUUAACAACAUGAUUUAUGUUUUCAACUGUUGCUAGGAUUAAUUUGGCGAUCUGAACUUAGGGAGAAAUUGGCGGAGAUGAGUGUCUCUGUCCUUUUGUUUGUACUACUUAUCUUGUUUCUAUGAUCAACGUAGUUUUCAUUGAUAUUUGUAAUUUAUGAAGAUGUCAUCUUCAUUACAGUGGCCCAAGGACUCCUGUAUUUGAGUUUUAUGUGUGUGAUACGGAGGAGAAACCUAUAAAUGUGGCAGGAAGCGAGGUUCCAUUCAGCCUUGGGAUAAAAAUGUGCAAAGUUUAUGCCAUUCUAGAGAUGCUGGGAUAGCUUGAUGGGGCCGCUCUUUGUUAUGCUGCUGAUCUUCAACUUGAUUAGAGGAAUCAGGCUGCUAUUCUUUCUCUCUUAGUUCUUUUUGUUGCAACCUAUUUGUUACAGCAUAAUUUUCUGUACAUUUUCAUCUGGUGUUAACAGGGUUAGUGUUACAUGGGUUUGGUGUACCACAAAUACUCUUCAACUUCCCUCUGUUCUUUUGAACAGACUAUGAAUAUUUGGUCUGCUGUGGUCUGUGGAAGCCAAAGGUUAACAUACUAUUUAUUCUGAAUCGCCUGGUUUGGAGUUUAUUUGUUCUCGAAAUCUGCCAUUCUUUUUGUUAUCUGUGAUAUAUGAGAAUAAGAAUCUUUUCCGCCAAAUCUGUAUAUCUUUGUCACAGCAAGGAAUCAUAAAUUUAUGUUGUUGCACAUGGAGCAGAAAUCUGCAAUUAGCUGUGACUUAAUUCUGACUAUUCGGUAUACUUCCACUUGGUGAUCUCCACUCUAAAUACUAAUUCGUCACGGGUGUCUCUUAGGAAUUUAGUUUUCUUGAUUCCUUAAGUUCCAUGUGUCUGUUAUAGGGGGAUGGGACUGCAAAAGCUAUGGCGAGAAUAAGAAGUUCUGCGAUAGCCUAUGAAUGUAAUGUGGGAUGGUAUAAGUUGUGGUAUUCAGGACUUGCUUUGAGAUCUGGGUUUAAACCGUUUAUUUUUCCUUGAAUAAUUUUUCUGGAUUGGAAUUGUUUUCUUUUCAUGGUGUCAUGUGGUAAUGUUGAUUUGUGUGUUGUUUAUCAGGAAUCUGGGUAUAAGAAGAGCUUUAGAAUAACAACAAUUUCCUCGUAUAACUUUGGAAAAAUGGGAUUCUAGAGUUUUGGACAGCUUGGGUCGGCUCUUAGUAUUUGGAUGUUGGCGUCUUAGUUUGGGGGAGCUUUUCUAUACCACUUUUGAUAAAAGCACAAGCAUAGUUAUACUUCUGUUUAGUACAGAUCAAACAGUAUGUCAAAGGUCGCUUGUGUCCGUGCAUUAUGUUUGUUUGCAACCUCUUUGCUUAAGUUUGGUAGUCUCCUAUCCUUUUUCCUUCCUCAACAGCACCGAUCUUGGUUGUGAGUUUUAUCGAAUGGUUUGUGUAUACUUUACUAUUAACAAAGGUGGUGUCCGGACUCCUCGCUUACGAAUCUACAUGGGUUGCGGAAGUUGCGGAUGAUAUUACCACAGAGGAUGAUGAGUUUUUGGCAGCCUGAGGAUUUCAAGUGUCAAUUAACUUCCUCUUUAAAUGGUGUACGCUCUUUGUUAUAGCAGAAAGUACUCUAUUUGUUAUGCCAGAACCACAUUUGUCCCGGUUGGCCUACUUGUCUCAUUUAGUUUUUUCGCAUAGUCCGAUGAGUAUCUGAUGGUGAUCUAGUAACAUGAUCACAGGAUGUAGCAGUCUUUAGAAAACCAUUGGUUAGGGAGGGCAAAGAAUUAAGUUUGGAAGGGAUUUUUACUUUUCUUUUGUACCAUGGUAAGAGAAGGAACUAAGCUAUGUUAAGACAAGUUUUAUGUUUUUAAUGUAUCAUUGAUCAAUUUAUUUAUCCCAAUUCUGUUUUCUAUUUCAUACUGUUUGAUAAAAAGAAAAGAAAACACUGUUAGAUAUAAUAUUAAUUUUGCAAAU